AGCGGAGGAAAAGAAACUAACAAGGAUUCCCCUAGUAACGGCGAGUGAAGAGGGAAGAGCUCAAAUUUUAAAUCUGCCUUGUUCCAAGGUCGAGUUGUAAUUUGAAGAAGCGUUUUCUUGGGCUCGCGGCCGGUAGAAGUUCUUUGGAACAGGACAUCAUAGAGGGUGACAAUCCCGUCCGUGACCGGUCGUGCGUUCAUAUACGAUACGCUUUCAAAGAGUCGAGUUGUUUGGGAUUGCAGCUCCAAACGGGUGGUAAACAUCACCUAAGGCUAAAUAUUGGCGAGAGACCGAUAGCGAACAAGUACCGUGAGGGAAAGAUGAAAAGAACUUUGAAAAGAGAGUUAAACAGUACGUGAAAUUGUUGAAAGGGAAACGAUUGAAGUCAGUCGUGCUGGCGCGAAAUCAACCCUCUCGUCUUGAGAUCACAUGGCGCGACGAGCCUCAAAACCGUCACGAAGCGUGAACUCUUGACGAAAAGGUGCACUUUCGUGUCCGCUGGUUAACAUCAAUUUCGAACGUCAUAAAAAGGCUGGAGGGAUGUGGCUCCUUCGGGAGUGUUAUAACCUUUAGCGGAAUGUGGCGUUCGGGAUUGAGGAUUGCAACGAAUACCUUCAGGGCUGUUCCACCUGGCUUCUCAUUGGUAUCCUGGUGACGACAGCUUGCUGACGUCGUUAGGAUCAGCUUCUGAACAGGCUAGAGUGUGAGCAAAUUCGUWAAGGAUGUUAACGUAAUGGCUUUAAACGACCCGUCUUGA
rnacentral:rRNA from 1 species